UUACGAUCAAAUCACCAAUGAAUCACCGGUUCAAGUACGAUCCCAGAAAUUAAGCAACAUCAAGCCUAGUCGGUACUUAUAUGGGUAACUGCUUGGGAAUAACAGGUGCUGUAAG